GACCCAGCAAUUCCAGUGCUAGGUACAUACCCAAAAGAAAUAAAAACACAUACCCACACAAAAACUUGCACAUGAGUGCCAUAGCAGCCUUGUUCAUGACAGUCAAAAAAUGGGAACAACCCAGAUGUCCAUCAAUGGAUGAAUGGAAAAACAAAAUGUGGUAAAUCCACAUAAUGGAGUACUAAUACAUGCUACAACAUGGGUGAGCCUUGAAAGCACUAUGCUAAGUUGAAGGAGUCAGCCACAAAAGACCACAUAUUGCACAAUUUGAUGUAUAUGAAAUGUCUAGAAUAAGCAAAUCUAUGGAGACAAAAAGUAGAUUAGUCUGGUUGCCUAGAGUUGUUGGAGCAGGAUUGGGAGGAAAUGGGAAAAUGAGGAGUAACUGCUAACGGGUAUGGGGUUCUUUUUGAGGUGAUGAUAUAAAUGUUCUACAAUUGUGGGGAUGGCUGCACAACACUGUGGAUAUACUAUAAACCAUUGAAAUUUACUUUUAAUUGUGUGAACUAUUUGGUAUGUGAAUUCUAUCUCAAUAAAGUUGCAACAAAAUAAAAUGACCACAAAGAUUUUCAGCCAUUAAAUAUUAAAAUAUUUAAUAAAAGAGGCAAGUUUUAGGAGGGAGCUUAAGAACAGUACAACUCUGAAAUCUGAGGAAAAAACCCUGAAGUCAGUUCAUUUGUAUUCUCCUUGGUUAUGACAAAUCAAAAAAGCCAAUACAGAAGGUAAGAAUGAAAUUAAAGAGAAGAGCUCUCCACUGCUGUUCUCUUCAGCUCAACAUGGUGGCCUACCAGGCGACUGGCAGUCUCAGCCGCUUCUCUGCCUUCAGGAUCCCCCGCUCCCGAGGUUAUGUAUGCUGCCAUUUUACAGGGUCCUCUGCUUUGAUGACCACAACCCAUAUUAACUAUGGAGUCAAAGGGGACGUGGCAGUUAUUUGAAUUAACUCUCCCCAUUCAAAGGUAAAAACACUGAAUAAACAAAGAGCUGCAUUCAGAGUUCACAGAAGUUAUGGAUGAAAUCUGGGCUAGUGAUCAAAUCAGAAGUGUCAUCCUUAUCUCAUCAAAGCCAGGCUGCUUUACUGUAGGUGCUGAUAUCAACAUGUUAGCCACUUGCAAGACCCCUCAAGAAGUAACACAGAUAUCACAAGAAGCACCAAGAACAUUUGAGAAAUUGAAAAGUCCACAAAGCCUGUUGUGACUGCCAUCAGUGGAUCCUGCCUGGGAGGAGGACUUGAGUUUGCCAUUUUAUGCCAAUACAGAAUAGCAACAAAAGACAGAAAAAACAGUAUUAGGUGCUCCUGAAGUCUCGCUGGGGAUCUUACCAGGAGCAGGAGGUGCACAAAGGCUGCCCAAAAUGGUGGGUGUGCCUGCUGCUUUUGACAUGAUGCUGACUGGUAGAAACAUUCAUGCAGAUAGGGCAAAGAAAAUGGGACUUGUUGACCAAUUGGUGGAAUCUCUGGGACCAGGACUAAAACUUCCAGAGGAACAGAAAAUCAAAUACCUAGAAGAAGUCACAAUUACUUUUGCCAAAGGACUAGCUGAUAAGAUCUCUCUAAAGACAGACAAGGGAUUGGUGGAAAAAUUGACAGUGUAUGCCAUAACUAUUCCAUUUGUCAGAGAGCAAAUUUACAAAACAAGUGGAAGAAAACGUGUGAAAGCAGACUAAAGGGCUUUAUCCUGCACCUCUGAAAAUAAUUGAUAUGGUAAAGACUAGAAUUGAGCAAGGAAGUGAUGCUGGUUAUCUCUCUGAAUCUCAGAAAUUUGGAGAGCUUGUAAUGACCAAAGAAUCAAAGGCCUUGAUGGGACUCUACCAUGGUCAGGUCCUGUGCAAGAAGAAAACAUCUGGAGCUCCACAGAAGGAAGUUAAGCAUCUGGCUAUUCUUGGUGCAGGGAUGAUGGAAGCAGGCAUCACCCAAGUCUCCAUGGAUAAGGGGCUAAAGACUAUACUUAAAGAUGCCACACUCACUGGGCUAGGCCGAGGACAGCAACAAGUGUUCAAAGGACUGACUGACAAAGUGAAGAAGAAAGCUCUAACAUCAUUUGAAAGGGAUUCCAUCGUCAGCAACUUGACUGGGCAGUUUGAUUACCAUGGGUUUUAAAAAGACCAACAUGGUGAUGGACACUGUGUUUGAGGGCCUUAGUUUUAAGCACAGAGUGCUAAAGGAAGUAGAAGCGGUGACUCUAGAUCACUGUGUGUUUGCCAGCAACAUAUCUGCUCUCCCAAUCAGUGAAAUUACCGCUAUCAGCAAAAGACCUGAGAAGGUGAUUGGCAGGCACUACUUCUCUCCUGCGGACAAGAGGCAGCUGCUGGAGAUGAUCACAACCGGGAAGACUUCCAAAGACACCAGUGCCUCAGCUGUAGCAGUCCGUCUCAAGCAGGGGAAGGUCAUCAUUAUGGUUAAGGAUGCACCUGGCUUCUAUACCACCAGGUGUCUUGCACCCAUGAUGUCUGAAGUCAUCCGAAUCCUCCAGGAAGGAGUUGACCCGAAGAAGCUGGAUUCCCUGACCACAAACCUCGGCUUUCCUAUGGGUGCCGCCACACUGGUGGAUGAAGUUGGUGUGGAUGUAGCGAAACAUGUGGCGAAAGAUCUGGGCAAAGCCUUUGGGGAGCAGUCUGGAGGUGGAAACCCAGAACUGCUGACACAGAUGGUGUCCAAGGGCUUUCUAGGUCACAAGUCUGGGUAGGGCUUUUCCAUCUGUCAGGAGGGUGUGAAGAGUAAGAAUUUGAAUUCUGACAUGGACAGUAUUUUAGCAAGUCUGAAGAUGCCUCCUAAGUCUGAAGUCUCCUCAGAUGAAGACAUCCAGUUCUGCCUAGUGACAAGAUUAGUGAGUGAGGCAGUCAUGUGCCUGCAAGAGGGGACCUUGGCCACACCUGCAGAGGGAGACACUGGAGCCAUCUUUGGGCUCAGCUUCCCACCUUGUCUUGGAGGGUCUUUCCGCUUUGUGCAUCUGUAUGGCACCCAGAAGAUAGUGGACGGGCUCAAGAGGUAUGAAGCUGCCUAUGGAAAAGAGUUCACCCCAUGCCAGCUGCUAGUUGACCACACUAACAGCCCUAACAAGAAGUGUUACCAGUGAGCAGGCCUCAUGCCUCACUCAGUCAGUGCACUAACCCCAGCUUCCGGCAGAGGUGGUUCUCCACCAGAGUGGCGUCUAGAUUUAUCAGAGUUACGAGAAAGAAGACAAACUCUGGCAUUGGGUUUGCUCCCUGAUUAAAGUGCCUUCAGCCAAGAUCAUCUCUCCCUCCUGGUGAAGUCUGACUGUGAAUUAGAGUUAGCACUUCCUAGUGGAAGGUGGAAGCCCCUGUGCUCAUUGUAUAAGCCCUGAGGCCUAGAGUGGCAGCCAAGAGCUGUCUGGAGCCAUCUCUCUCCCUGUUCCUCCCAGGAAGCCAGGGUGGCCAGGGGUGGCGAGGGCAAUUCUGCACCCAGCCAAACAUAUAACAAUAAAAACCAAACUCUGU